GACGAACGCUGGCGGCGUGCCUAAUACAUGCAAGUUGAGCGAUGAAGAUUGGUGCUUGCACCAAUUUGAAGAGCAGCGAACGGGUGAGUAACGCGUGGGGAAUCUGCCUUUGAGCGGGGGACAACAUUUGGAAACGAAUGCUAAUACCGCAUAAUAACUUUAAACAUAAGUUUUAAGUUUGAAAGAUGCAAUUGCAUCACUCAAAGAUGAUCCCGCGUUGUAUUAGCUAGUUGGUGAGGUAAAGGCUCACCAAGGCGAUGAUACAUAGCCGACCUGAGAGGGUGAUCGGCCACAUUGGGACUGAGACACGACCCAAACUCCUACGGGAGGCAGCAGUAGGGAAUCUUCGGCAAUGGACGAAAGUCUGACCGAGCAACGCCGCGUGAGUGAAGAAGGUUUUCGGAUCGUAAAACUCUGUUGGUAGAGAAGAACGUUGGUGAGAGUGGAAAGCUCAUCAAGUGACGGUAACUACCCAGAAAGGGACGGCUAACUACGUG
rnacentral:rRNA from 1 species